rnacentral:rRNA from 1 species
AUUGAACGCUGGCGGAAUGCUUUACACAUGCAAGUCGAACGGCAGCACGGACUUCGGUCUGGUGGCGAGUGGCGAACGGGUGAGUAAUGUAUCGGAACGUGCCCAGUCGUGGGGGAUAACGUAGUGAAAAUUACGCUAAUCCCGCAUACGAUCGAUGGAUGAAAGCGGGGGAUCGCAAGACCUCGCGCGAUUGGAGCGGCCGAUAUCAGAUUAGGUAGUUGGUGGGGUAAAGGCCCACCAAGCCAACGAUCUGUAGCUGGUCUGAGAGGACGACCAGCCACACUGGAACUGAGGAACGGUCCAGACCCCUACGGGAGGGAGCAGUGGGGAAUUUUGGACAAUGGGAGAAAGCCUGAUCCAGCCAUUCCGCGUGCAGGAUGAAGGCCCUCGGGUUGUAAACUGCUUUUGUACAGGACGAAAAGGUUUCUACUAAUACUAGGAGCUCAUGACGGUACUGUAAGAAUAAGCACCGGCUAACUACGUGCCAGCAGCCGCCGUAA